rnacentral:lncRNA from 12 species
GAUUUAGGCUUUUGAUCAGCAGAACAGAGCGAUGCCGAACCCUUCUAAUGAACCGUCUGUUUAUCUGGGGAGUCGUUCCACUUUCAUGCUGCACACAGCCGAUAACCGCAGCUCAGAGGGGCCCGCCGGCUCUGCAGCUCGUUCCGAUUCCUGCCCCGGGGGAGGAGAUCAUCCUGGAAGGAAAAAUGCGGGAGUUGGGGGAAACGGCCGUGCCGCGCCCGGCAGUGGGAGCGAGGGGUGGGAGCUGCUGGGGGCUCUGCAAGCCCCACCCGGGAGGGUGACACCACAGGGGGGGGGGGGGGGGGGGGGGGGGGGGGGGGGGGGGGGGGGGUGUUCCUGCUCUGUGACACCCAGGUGUUCCUGCUCUGUGCCUCUCCAGGUGUUCCUGCUCUGUGCCUCUCCAGGUGUUCCUGCUCUGUGCCUCUCCAGGUGUUCCUGCUCUGUGCCUCUCCAGGUGUUCCUGCUCUCUGUCAAUCCAGGCGUUCCUGCUCUGUGCCUCUCCAGAUGUUCCUCUGUGCCUCUCCAGAUGUUUGUGCUCUCUGAGCCAUGGGCAGGGCAAGGAGCACAGGACCAGGGCCAGAUCAUUUCCAGGUCUGCAUGCUGCACAGGAGCCACCCAAGCUCCAUCCUCCCCUGGCUUUCAAUGCCACUUUUUUAUUUUUUUUUCCCUUUCCCUCUGAGAGAUUUUUCAGUGCAAGUUAGGAGCUGUUCAAGCC